CAGACAUUUGCACACACAGCCAAGAAAUCUUAACAUACAAGCAGGAAUAUUCUUAAGAUACUUUACAUCUUGAGAGUUAAGUUUUCGCGUUCACUGAGGCUUCCAAACCAAUUCGUAGAUGUCGCAAGAAAGUAAGCCCUUCGUUUCAGAUCCACCUUCCCAAUCCCUGGGCCCAACAUAGGUGAUGACGUAACGAGCGGCCUUCUAGAGGAAUGCCAGCCACUGGAUCAUUACGUCCGGCCAGCCGGCGGAAAGACAAGGCCAUCGCGUCGUGGGGAUGGGCAAGCAACGUGAGAAACAAACGCUGGGAGCGGAGGUCGAACCCAGGAACACGGCACAGCCACACGCAGGAUCUAAAUAUAUGGGGAGUUCAUGUCUGUCAACAGGAGACAAGAGGGUUCUCGAUAGCAGUAACAUUUCUAGAGUCUAGCUGCUUCGCUGGUUCUCUAGACUAAAGGACCUAAAGAUGGAUGUCUUCUGGAAUGGUACGCCGGGUAGUCUGUCGAAUACUGGCUGACGUUUCAGAGAACCUUACUGCCGCCAUCAUCAAGACGAUGAGCGCAAUGAUGUUGGAGGCUGAGUUAACUAAUGGCUGACUGACCUACGUCCCAAACAGCCAAAUAAACAAACCAAACCAAACUAAACGACCAACAUAACCAAUUAAACUAAAUAACCAAGUUAACCAAACGUAACCACGUGGAAUCAAGCGGUAAAUUGACAUUCGGAAAAUAUUACCACAGCUGAAAGCUUCACAACCAUCAGAACGUUAAAUCUUAGUUGAUGUAAAUUGAUUACAGAAUAAUAAAUAAAUUCUUCAGUAGGUUACUUUUUAACCUGCUCAGUCCACUAA